AAGGCAAGGAUAUUCUAAAUAGAGACAACAUCUUUAAAAGGCAUGGAGGUAAGAAAGAGCAGGCAGAUGGUAGGAGCUAUGACUGAACUGGGUUCCCCCAAAUGUAUAUGUUGGAACCAUAUCCCCCUGUACCUCAGAAUAUGACUGUCUUUGGAGAUAGGGCAGUUGAGGGCUUCAAGGGGUGGUUAAAUUAAAAUGAGGCUGUCAGGGUGGGCCUAUUCCAAUGUGACUAGUGUCCUUUAGGAAGAGCAGAUUAAGACAUACAGAGGGACACGAGGGACAUGCACACGCAGAGAAAAGGCCGCUUGAGGACACAGCGAGAAGAUGGCUGUCACACUGUGGAGUGUAUAUUUGGUUUUUGUCCUCGUUUCCUGGCAUAUAAUUUCUAAAAUCCUCUGGAUCUUCACAAUUACGCCUUUGUAUGCUAAUGAGUUGAUGGGUGGCUAGCAGCCCCUAGGUAGCUUCAGGAGGAGCUGGUCACUGGAAAGACCAAGGCAGCAUUAGAGGGUUGGGACUUUCAGCCCCGCCCCCCAAUCUCCGGGGAGGGGACGGGGGUAAAGGUCAAGUUGACCACCAAAGGCCAAUGGUUUGACGAAUCAUGUCUGUAUAACGAAGCCUCCAUAAACCCCCCAAAGUUAGGAGAGCUUCUGGAUAGCUGAACGCAGGGAAAGGGGCACAUCUGGAGAGGGCAGGGAAGCCUCACACCCCUUCCCUCAUACCUCACCCUAUGCAUCUCUUCACCUGUAUCCCUUGUAAUAUCUUUAUAAUAAAGGAGUAAAUGUGAGUGUUUCCCUGAGUUCUGUCAGCUGCUCUAGCAAAUUAAUAAACCCAACGUGCCAGCCAUGGGAACCCCAAUUUAUAGUUGGUUGGUCAAAAACACAGGGUAGACAACCUGGGGCGUGUGACUGGUGUCGGAGGUGGAAGGCAGUCUUGUGGGACUGAGCCCUCACCCUGUGGGAUCUGAUGCUCUGGACAGUGUCAGAAUUAAACUGAAUUAGAGGACACCCAGCUGGUGUCCACUACAGAAGUUAUUGCUUGCUUGGUGUGUGGGGAAACCUCCUACACAUUUGGCCACAGAAGUCUUCUGUGUUGAUGGUUGUGGAGUGAGAGCAGAUGAAAAACAGUUUGUUUUUUCUGCUCAGUGACUGCAAGCCAAGGAGUGAGGGCUCAGAAGAAACCAAAUCUGUCAACAUCUUGAUCUGGGACUCCUGGCCUCCAGACUGUGGGAAGAUAAAUUUAUGUUGGCCUUUAGUAACUUAUUAUGGCAGCCCGAGCUGACUACCACAGGAGGGGUCUCUGAGCUACCUGGAGGGAGAGGGUAAAGCAAAGAACGACAAGAGAUGAGAUGGGGGACAGAGGUGAUGUGCAGGGACUUGCAUGCCACACUAAGGGGCUUGAAGAUUUUCCUGCAGGUGAGGGGAAGCUUUUGGAGAGUUUUAGCAAGGAGGUGGCAGAACCAUGAGGUGUUUUAAGGAGAGCUCUCUGGUGGCAGCAAGGAAGGGCAAGACCAGAAGUAGAAAAUAGAAAACACUUUGGGGCUGUUGGACUGCUACAAGCAAGUGGUGAAGAGAGAGACAGUGGUAUUAGGGGUGGAGAAGAGGAGUUGAAUUGAGGAAAUCCUUAGGAGAUGAAAUUGGCAGUUGUUAGCAAUGGCUCCCAGGGAAGGAGUGAAGGAGAGGCAGGAGCUGGAGCUCCCAGUCUCCUACCCUGUUGUGGGUGGACCUGUGCCACCAGCGAUGAGUACAACACUAUGGGAGGGGAGCAGAUGAAGCAGGGUAGAGGGGAUGAUCAGUAAGAGAUGACUGUGGGGUAACCAGGAGAGAUGUCAACGGGGAGUUAAGCAUUCACGCUUGAUCUUUAGAGAGAGUGGGGCUGCUGGUGGAGACUUGGGAGCCUUUGGCUUAAAAGGGGGUAUGGCCGGCCAUGCCCACACCCCACCCGUGUGCACACCAGCCCUUGGCAUGCUCUCUGCGACUCUUCGUCAGAGGGUGGCCCUGGGGUUGCCUGAGCCUGUCUUUCCUGUGAACACAUGGAGCUGGAAGCACCUGGGACUGUACAUUUUUCCAACCAAUGAGACAAGUGCAGGGGUACAUGCACCCUGGGGGUCCACUGCCUGAUGCGAACAACUGAGGGUGACCCAUGCUUCUUCCAGAGUAACCCUGCAUGACCUGGCCUGAUGUCACGGCACCCUGGCUUGGCCUCCUCACUUCCAUUUCCCUUCCCUUUCCACCUCCUGGGAACAUAUAUUAGUCUGUUCCUGAAUUGCCAUAAAGAAAUACACAAGACUGGGUAAUUUAUAAAUAAAAGAGGUUUAAUUGGCUCACGGUUCUGCAGGUUGUACAGGAAGCAUGAUGCUGUCACCUGCUCGGAGGCCUCAGGAAACUUACAAUUAUGGCAGAAGGCAAAGGGGAAGCAGGACAUCUUACAUGGCUGGGGCGGGAGGGAGACAGUUGGUGGAGGAAGGUGCCACACACUUUUAAAUAACCAGAGCUCAUGAGAACUCACUCACUAUUGUGACCACAGCACCAAGGGGGGAUGGUGUUAAACCAUGACAAACCACCUCUGUGAUCCAGUCACCUCCCGCCAGGCCCCACCUCCAACACUGGGGAUUACAAUUCAACAUGAGAUUUGGGCGGGGACACACAGCCAACCCGUAUCAGAACAAUUCCUAAUAAAUCUCUUUCCCAUACCCCUUGCAUCAGGGUCUGCACCUGGAGACUCCCACCUAAGAUGGGGGUUUAGAUGAGACCACUCUGGGAGGACACGCAGCCGAGUGUGGAGGCCCCGAGGAAGAUCAGCUCUGAAGACACAGGCAGGCAAAGGGCAGACCUCGAAGGAGAUGGAGGAGGAAUGACAGAGGGCAAGAAGAAUCAGGUUUACUGUCUGCCAGGCUGCCAAACCCCAACCCUCGCCACAUCCGCAGCCACCACGUAAAGUGACUGUUAGAACUUCAAACGAAGGAUCUGACCCCCGGAAAUGGCCUCAUGCUAGUUUUUUCCUAAACAGUCACCAGGAAAAUGACGGAAGGCAAAUCGAAACGCAUGCCCUGAAAGACUUAGAACAUAACCAUCACAUCUGGGGGACAAGAAGCCCACCCCAACUUAAUUUAAAAAGGAAACACAGCAGAUGUCAUCAGUUGGCAGGGAGGUGUCUUGAAGGAAAGAAGGAGGGGAAUGAGAGGGCUGUG
rnacentral:lncRNA from 1 species